CUGAAGAGUUUGAUCAUGGCUCAGAUUGAACGCUGGCGGCAGGCUUAACACAUGCAAGUCGAGCGGAAACG
rnacentral:rRNA from 1 species